rnacentral:rRNA from 1 species
CGAAGGGUGCAAGCGUUACUCGGAAUUACUGGCGUAAAGCGUGCGUAGGUGGUUCGUUAAGUCUGUCGUGAAAGCCCCGGGCUCAACCUGGGAAUGGCGAUGGAUACUGGCGGGCUAGAGUGCGGUAGAGGAGAGUGGAAUUCCCGGUGUAGCAGUGAAAUGCGUAGAGAUCGGGAGGAACAUCAGCUGCGAAGGCGGCUCUCUGGACCAGCACUGACACUGAGGCACGAAAGCGUGGGGAGCAAACAGGAUUAGAUACCCUGGUAGUCCACGCCCUAAACGAUGCGAACUGGACGUUGGGAGCAACUAGGCUCUCAGUGUCGAAGCUAACGCGUUAAGUUCGCCGCCUGGGGAGUACGGUCGCAAGACUG